GGGGUUAUGGCUUAGUGGUAGAGUGCUUGCCUCACAUGCAUGGGGCACUGGGUUCGAUCCUCAGCACCA
rnacentral:tRNA from 1 species